rnacentral:rRNA from 1 species
GGACCCGCACAAGCGGUGGAGUAUGUGGUUUAAUUCGAUGCAACGCGAAAAACCUUACCAGGGUUUGAAAUAAUUUCAAAACUUCUUGAAAGAGAAGCCUCCUUCGGGAUGGGAUUACAGGUGGUGCAUGGCUGUCGUCAGCUCGUGUUGUGAAAUGUCAAGUUAAGUCUUGUAACGAGCGCAACCCAUGUCUCUUGUUGCUGUUUACAGUGCUUAAGAGAAACUGCCGAUCAACAUCGGAGGAAGGUGUGGAUGAUGUCAAGUCAGCAUGCCCCUUACAUCCUGGGCUACACACGUACUACAAUGGUCGAGACAAAGGGUCGCUAACCUGCAAAGGCAUGCCAAUCUCAUAAACUCGAUCUCAGUUCGGAUUGUACUCUGCAACUCGAGUACAUGAAGGUGGAAUCGCUAGUAAUCGC